rnacentral:lncRNA from 1 species
ACCCCAGUAAAGAAUUGAGAAAGAGAAACUUGAUUAUUUAUUUGAAAUGAGGGCGAAAUAACAGUCUGAACAAAUAACAAUAGCUAAAUUUGUUCACUCCUUAGACUUCAGCUAUCAAGCUAAACUGACAUGUGAUGACUUGACGUGUUUUUAUGUCUUUAGAAUGUUUACUUUAGCUUUAUAUAAACUUUAAAACAUAUAUCAAUGCGCUUUGAAAUGUGCUUUGAAACUAUUUUUUUUUUAACUUUUU